ensembl:lncRNA
GCCAUGGCCACUAGAAUGCAAUCAGCAUGAAGGGCAAGGCUGAAUUUUGUUCUGACAUAUCCCCCCAAACCUAGAAAAGUACCAGAUCCAUUCUGUGAAUGUGCAAAGGAAGGAAAAGCAAAAAGUUUGAUGUGCAAUGAAUCAAAAUUGACUUGGCCUACAUUCCGGCAUCCUUCCCCAAAUCCACCUGAGACCUCCCACCUUGCUAUCAUUAUCUCUCAUUAGAAAUGACUCAGGAAGCACAAGGUUCUUACAGAAGAUUGAGCUGAGUUCCCUGUGCUACACAUGCAGAAGGGAUGGUGUGCUGCUUCAUAAACUAGAUCACAAGAGGCACCAUGGCUUCCUGCUGUCUUGCAUUUUCUCUGGAAACCAGCUACUAUGUUCAG